rnacentral:rRNA from 1 species
AAAUUGAAGAGUUUGAUCAUGGCUCAGAUUGAACGCUGGCGGCAGGCCUAACACAUGCAAGUCGAACGGUAACAGGAAGAAGCUUGCUUCUUUGCUGACGAGUGGCGGACGGGUGAGUUAUGUCUGGGAAACUGCCUGAUGGAGGGGGAUAACUACUGGAAACGGUAGCUAAUACCGCAUAACGUCGCAAGACCAAAGAGGGGGACCUUCGGGCCUCUUGCCAUCGGAUGUGCCCAGAUGGGAUUAGCUAGUAGGUGGGGUAA